AUUGAACGCUGGCGCCAGGCCUAACACAUGCUAGUCGAACGAGUGGCGGACGGGUGCGUAAUCACUGGGAAACUGCCUGAUGGCGGGGGAUAACUACUGGAAACGGUAGCUAAUACCGCAUACCAUCGUAUUUACCCACAUGGGAUUAGCUAGUAGGUGGGUUAAUGACUCACCUAGGCGACGAUCCCUAGCUGGUCUUUGGGGAUUAUCAGCGACACUGGAACGAAGACACGGUCCAGACUCCUACGGGAGGUAGCAGUGGGGAAUAUUGCACAAAGGGCGCAAGCCUGAUGCAGCCAAGCCGCGGGUAUGAAGAAGGCCUUCGGGUUGUAAAGUACUUUCAGCAAGGAGGCGUUACUCGCAGAAGAAGCAGCGGCUAACUCCGUGCCAGCAGCCGCGGUAAUUC
rnacentral:rRNA from 1 species